ACGUAGGUCACAAGCGUUGUCCGGAAUUACUGGGUGUAAAGGGAGCGCAGGCGGGAGAACAAGUUGGAAGUGAAAUCCAUGGGCUCAACCCAUGAACUGCUUUCAAAACUGUUUUUCUUGAGUAGUGCAGAGGUAGGCGGAAUUCCCGGUGUAGCGGUGGAAUGCGUAGAUAUCGGGAGGAACACCAGUGGCGAAGGCGGCCUACUGGGUACCAACUGACGCUGAGGCUCGAAAGUGUGGGUAGCAAACAG
rnacentral:rRNA from 1 species